rnacentral:rRNA from 1 species
GACGAACGCUGGCGGCGUGCCUAACACAUGCAAGUCGAACGAGGUCCAUGCAGUGGCAACACUGCGGAAGACCUAGUGGCGAACGGGUGAGUAACACGUGAGGAACCCGCCCCGAAGACCGGGAUAACCCUCCGAAAGGAGAGCUAAUACCGGAUACCCCCACCGGAUCGCAUGAUCUGGUGAGGAAAUGGAUUCCGCUUCGGGAGGGCCUCGCGGCCUAUCAGCUAGUUGGUGGGGUAACGGCCCACCAAGGCAUCGACGGGUAGCAGGUCUGAGAGGACGAUCAGCCACACUGGGACUGAGACACGGCCCAGACUCCUACGGGAGGCAGCAGUGGGGAAUCUUGCGCAAUGGGCGAAAGCCUGACGCAGCAACGCCGCGUGGGGGAUGAAGGCUCUCGGGUUGUAAACCCCUUUCAGCAGGGACGAAUCAAGACGGUACCUGCAGAAGAAGCCCCGGCUAACUGCGUGCCAGCCGCCGCUGUAAAAC